rnacentral:rRNA from 1 species
UACAGAGGGUGCGAGCGUUGUCCGGAAUCACUGGGCGUAAAGGGCGCGUAGGUGGUGGCUUAAGCGUGCGGUGAAAGCUCGGGGCUCAACCCCGAGUCGGCCGUGCGAACUGGGCUCACUGGAGCAUAGUAGAGGCAGGUGGAAUUCCGGGUGUAGCGGUGGAAUGCGUAGAGAUCCGGAAGAACGCCGGUGGCGAAGGCGGCCUGCUGGGCUAUGGCUGACACUGAGGCGCGACAGCGUGGGGAGCAAACAGG